rnacentral:rRNA from 1 species
GACAGAGGGUGCAAACGUUGCUCGGAAUCACUGGGCGUAAAGGGCGUGUAGGCGGGAAAGUAAGUCGGGCGUGAAAUCCCUAGGCUCAACCUAGGAACUGCACUCGAAACUACUUUUCUUGAGUGCCGGAGAGGAAAGCGGAAUUCCUGGUGUAGAGGUGAAAUUCGUAGAUAUCAGGAGGAACACCAGUGGCGAAGGCGGCUUUCUGGACGGUAACUGACGCUGAGACGCGAAAGCGUGGGGAGCAAACAGG